GGGGAAUUUUCCGCAAUGGGCGAAAGCCUGACGGAGCAAUACCGCGUGAGGGAGGAAGGCUCUUGGGUUGUAAACCUCUUUUCUCAGGGAAGAACAAAAUGACGGUACCUGAGGAAUAAGCAUCGGCUAACUCCGUGCCAGCAGCCGCGGUAAUACGGAGGAUGCAAGCGUUAUCCGGAAUUAUUGGGCGUAAAGCGUCCGCAGGUGGCAAUUCAAGUCUGCUGUUAAAGGUUCUGGCUCAACCAGAAACAGGCAGUGGAAACUGAAUAGCUAGAGUGCGGUAGGGGCAGAGGGAAUUCCCAGUGUAGCGGUGAAAUGCGUAGAGAUUGGGAAGAACACCGGUGGCGAAAGCGCUCUGCUAGGCCGUAACUGACACUCAUGGACGAAAGCUAGGGGAGCGAAUGGGAUUAGAUACCCCAGUAGUCCUAGCCGUAAACGAUGGAUACUAGGCGUUGCUCGCAUCGACCCGAGCAGUGCCGUAGCUAACGCGUUAAGUAUCCCGCCUGGGGAGUACGCGCGCAAGCGUGAAACUCAAAGGAAUUGACGGGGGCCCGCACAAGCGGUGGAGUAUGUGGUUUAAUUCGAUGCAACGCGAAGAACCUUACCAGGACUUGACAUGUCGCGAAUCUUUGGGAAACUAAAGAGUGCCUUCGGGAGCGCGAACACAGGUGGUGCAUGGCUGUCGUCAGCUCGUGUCGUGAGAUGUUGGGUUAAGUCCCGCAACGAGCGCAACCCUCGUUCUUAGUUGCCAGCAUUAAGUUGGGCACUCUAGGGAGACUGCCGGUGAUAAACCGGAGGAAGGUGGGGAUGACGUCAAGUCAGCAUGCCCCUUACGUCCUGGGCUACACACGUACUACAAUGCUACGGACAAAGGGUCGCAAGCAUGCGAAUGCAAGCAAAUCCCAUAAACCGUGGCUCAGUUCAGAUUGCAGGCUGCAACUCGCCUGCAUGAAGGCGGAAUCGCUAGUAAUCCCAGAUCAGCACGCUGGGGUGAAUACGUUCCCGGGCCUUGUACACACCGCCCGUCACACCAUGGAAGUUGGCCACGCCCGAAGUCGUUACCCUAACCGUAAGGAGGGGGAUGCCGAAGGCAGGGCUGAUGACUGGGGUGAAGUCGUAACAAGGUAGCCGUACCGGAAGGUGUGGCUGGAUCACCUCCUU
rnacentral:rRNA from 1 species